rnacentral:lncRNA from 1 species
CGAAAAUUUUAGCUAAAACUCUAUUUGGUUGUAUGGUGUUCCCUUCUUUCUAUUUGUGUGUUGGCCGUGAAUUCAGAGGUUUCAGCAAACCCAGUGCCAAAGGAGCGGGAGUGGGACAGAGCCUGUAAAGGUUUUUAAAUAAGAGCGAGGAGUUUAUGUGUUUGGAAACAUAACUCUGGGAGCGCCAUAAAGGAAUGAUUCCGAGGGACGAAAGAAUUUUUUCCCCCUGAAGAUUGUGAUAAAGAUGUGUGAACUAAGGUAAUGCAGUGGGAAGAACCAGAGAAUUUUUGAGGUAAAUAAAGAGAGUAAAUAGCAUACCUGAGAGGUGAGGCUAGAAAGAACUGCUGGCAGUAGAGGAAGUUUUUCUUAAAAUGUUUAUGCAUGUUUAUAAAUAAAAAAGGCAGAAAUGCCACACAUUUAGUCCAUGAUGUAUCAAGUAGAAAUGGGAAUGUCCCUAAGAGAGUGAAGCAAGGGAGACUCUAAAAGCCCUAAAUCCUGAGCAAGGACUGAGAUUGGGACUGAGUAGAACAGUUGAGAUACCAACAGGAGUAGGAAUUUAGGAACUGUUGUGAGACUUCUCACUAAUCUGGCCUCUUUCUCUCUCAGGAUACUUGGAACACCUGUGCAAGCACUGGAUUUUGCCCAGCGACAUCUUAAAAGUAACACCCAAAGUGCCUUCCUCUUUCUAAUGGAGUCCCCUGGCCCUGCUACCUCCCACUAACUCUACCCUUCAGCCAGAAUGAAGUGUAGAUUUCGUGUAAUGAGAGGUGGAAUUUAAGUCGAGCACAGUGGCUCAUGCUUCUAUCGCAGUGGCUUGGAAGGCUGAGGCAGGAGGAUCACAAGUUCAAAGCCAGCCUCAGCAAAAGGGAGGGACUGAGCAACUCAGUGAGACUCUGUCUCUAAAUAAAAUGAAAAAAUAGGGUUGGGGAUGUGGCUCAGUGAACGUGUCCAUGAAUUCAACCCUCCCCAUCUCCCUGCCCCUCGCCCCCCCCACCCCCCACCCCGCCAAAAAAAGAUGGAAUUUAGCUACCAACUUACUCAGAUGUGUAGCUGGCACAUUACAGAAUUAUAUACGUCUAGCCAAUAACUUCCCAGAGGUCCACCUUGCUAUUGGGAACAGUUCUAUGCAGCUUAGCCUGGAGAGUCAUCCUCAGUAUCCCAGGGUAUUGCUUCCAGGACCACUCAGGAAUGCUGAAAUCCACAUUGCUCAAGUCCCUCACAUAAUAUGACAAAAUUAUUUGCGUAUAAUCUAUGCAUGACUUCCUGUAAACUUUAAAUCAUCUCUAAAUUACUUAUAAUCUAAAUCAGCUUGAAUGCUAUGUAAAUAGAUGUUAUACUGUAUUGUUCAAGGAAUAAUGAAUGACAAGACUACUGUCUGUACAUUUGCUACUGUCAGCACAGAUGCAAAUUUUUUUCAAAUAUUUUCAAUCUGUUGGUUCAGUCUGAGGAUGUGGAAUCCAUGGAUGCAGAGCUGACUUCGUGUGUGUGUAUGUGUGUGUGUGUGUAUACAAACAUAAAUGUGUAUCUCUGCAAAUCUAUAUAUUGUGAUGGGGUCUCAGUAUGUUGCUCAGGCUGGCCCCAAAAUCAUAGUCUCAAGCAAUGCUCCUGCCUGAGACUCCUGAGUAGCUGGGAUUACAGAUGCGUGCCACCUCACCCAGCAUGACUAUCUUUUCAUUCCUUGUGUACUGUCUGGAGUAUAAGGCAAAAGAAUGCUUAUGGAAUUCAUAAUUUUUCUAGGCCCAACAAAGGAAUGGCUGAUAGGUAAGCAAUAUGACUUCAUCUGUAAGAACACUAAAUAUGAUAAACUACAGGAC